rnacentral:rRNA from 1 species
UACGUAGGGGGCGAGCGUUGUCCGGAGUACUGGGCGUAAAGCGCACGCAGGCGGUCUGCUAAGUUUGGAGUGACAGUUGGUGGCUUAACUGCCAAAGUGCUUCGAAAACUGACAGACUUGAGGGCUUCAGAGGGACACGGAAUUCCGGGUGGAGUGGUGAAUGCGUAGAGAAUCGGAAAGAACACCAACGGCGAAAGCACUCUGCUGGGCCGACACUGACACUGAGAGACGAAAGCUAGGGAGCGAAUGG